rnacentral:rRNA from 1 species
GGGUUAGUACUCGUUGCCUUCAAAUUUGUGCGUUUAGCGCUUCAGAUGCUUGCAUUUGUUGUGCGGCGUACAAGAUUACUUUGAACGGCUCAAGUGCUCAAAGCACGUCUUAUGACAGAAUACCGGUGCAUGGAAUAAUGGAACAAGGCUUCGGCCGGGUUUUGAUUGGUUUUGCCGGCUGAAACAAUGGUUAACAGGAACAGCCGGGGGCAUUCGUAUCGCUGCGCGAGAGGUGAAAUUCGUGGACCGUAGCGAGACGCCCAAAAGCGAAGGCACUUGCCAAGAGUGUUUUCAUUAAUCAAGAACGAAAGUCAGAGGUUCGAAGGCGAUUAGAUACCGCCCUAGUUCUGACCGUAAACAAUGCCAACUGUCGAUCCGCUUGUGGAUUUAAUUCAUGAGCGGGGAGGUUCCCGGAAACGAAAGUUUUUCGGUUCCGGGGGAGGUAUGGUUGCAAAACUGAAACUUAAAGGAAUUGACGGAAGGGCACCACCAGGAGUGGAGCUUGCGGCUUAAUUUGACUCAACACGGGAAAUCUCACCCGGCCAGUACAUUGUAAGGAUUGACAGAUUGAUAGCUCUUUCAUGAUUCGGUGAAUGGUGGUGCAUGGCCGUUCUUAGUUCGUGGAUUGAUUUGUCUGGUUUAUUCCGAUAACGAGCGAGACUUUGACUAUUAAAUAGUGCAGUUGUUUCUUUUGAUGCAAUUGAUCACUUCUUAAAAGAAUUUGGGG